AUUUAACAACAUAUGCUGAGUUGGACGAGGCCAUGGAUACUGGCUUCAGACAAUUAAUGCAUGCUGACUUAAAGGAAGGUCACGUACAGCACUCAAAAACGUUUAUGCUGAGCUGAUAUAAAUUGAGCAUAAAAAAUGGCCAUGCUGUAACUUGUAUGUUAAUUAAGCCAUGCUGAUCAAAUCCUUACUAAACUCAGAUUAACAAAGUCAGCAUAUUAUAUUUAUAGCAUAGAAUUGGUAUGAAAAAAUCGGUCAUGCUGAGUACAGCCUGACAUCAUUGAAUCUUUAAUGCUGUCAUGCUGAUAUCUUGACCAUCCUGAGUUCAAAAUAGUCAGCAUUGAUACACAGGCUAUGCUGAGUGAGAAUUAACAUUACUGACUUAAUAAACCCCCAUAUGCUGAGCUCAGAUGGGAAACUAACACAUGCUGACUGAUUCUGGGCCAUGAGGUUGUUGACCAAUCCUUCCCCACUUAUAAAUUACUUGCAAUACUUAUAGGCUACUUUUGUGACUCUGUGUAGGCCUACAUUCCAUAAUACUCAACCUAACCUCAAUCCUCUCUCUCUCUAUACCAACUGGAUUUAGACAUUAAAAUUCUUCCUUAUGAACUGUUCUUAUAAAUUACUUGCAAUACUUAUAGGCUACUUUUGUGAUUCUGUGUAGGCCUAUAUAGUCAUUCCAUAUUCAACCUAACCUCGAUCCUCUCUCUUUCUAUACCAACUGGAUUUAGCAAUUAAAAUUCUUCCUUUGGGGGUGUAAUUAAUCUCUGUAGGCCUCACUCAAUCUGAUGCCUUGGAACUUGGAUACAUAGUCAGUAUUAAUAUAUCUGAGUGCUGUGUUGGGUAAUUAAUCACUAAUUGAUCCUAUUAAAUACUGUUUGGGGACAUAAUUAAUUCUCGGUCAAUCCUUGUUCAUUGAUAUGCUCAGGAACUUAGAUUAUAAACAAGUCUGAACUUUCAACAGUAAAUACAUAGUAAAUUCUGACAGCACGGGACUUUUCCAAACAGUCAAAUUCCCUCUAUAUAAAUAGUUUGUGGGUGGCUGGGGAGCUAAUUCAUUCUCCUAGGUCAACCCUCCCUCUUUCAAUGUGAUGGUUUAGCCCCUUGAAUUUUUCCCGGUACUAAUUAUAAGCUUUCAAGUGUUAAAUAUAUAGCAAAUUCUGAAUACAAGUCCUUUGCAGAUGGCUAGACUCCCUCACUCAAUCCCUUCCUACACACAGUUCUCCUCACAUAAGAAUAGACUCAUUGUUAUUAAGUCAGUAAUAAGCAUCUAAGCAGAAUAAUGACCAAGAUAAGCUAUAGAUGAAAUUAAUAUAGAUAUAUGUAGACAGAACCUCACAAGUUAAGCUAUUUCCAGUUUCCAAGGGCUGAGUUGAGCUGGGAGUUAGGUUAGAUCCUCGCAUGAAUUUAAGCUAUUUCCAGUUUCCAAGGGCUGAGUUAUGCUGGGAGUUAGGUUAGAUCCUUGCAUGAAUUUAAGCUAUUUCCAGUUUCCAAGGGCUGAGUUAAGCUGGGAGUUAGGUUAGAUCCUCGCAUGAAUUUAAGCUAUUUCCAGUUUCCAAGGGCUGAGUUAAGCUGGGAGUUAGGUUAGAUCCUUGCAUGAAUUUAAGCUAUUUCCAGUUUCCAAGGGCUGAGUUAAGCUGGGAGUUAGGUUAGAUCCUCACAUGAAUUUAAGCUAUUUCCAGUUUCCAAGGGCUGAGUUAAGCUGGGAGUUAGGUUAGAUCCUCGCAUGAAUUUAAGCUAUUUCCAGUUUCCAAGGGCUGAGUUAAGCUGGGAGUUAGGUUAGAUCCUCGCAUGAAUUUAAGCUAUUUCCAGUUUCCAAGGGCUGAGUUGAGCUGGGAGUUAGGUUAGAUCCUUGCAUGAAUUUAAGCUAUUUCCAGUUUCCAAGGGCUGAGUUGAGCUGGGAGUUAGGUUAGAUCCUCACAUGAAUUUAAGCUAUUUCCAGUUUCCAAGGGCUGAGUUGAGCUGGGAGUUAGGUUAGAUCCUCGCAUGAAUUUAAGCUAUUUCCAGUUUCCAAGGGCUGAGUUGAGCUGGGAGUUAGGUUAGAUCCUCACAUGAAUUUAAGCUAUUUCCAGUUUCCAAGGGCUGAGUUGAGCUGGGAGUUAGGUUAGAUCCUUGCAUGAAUUUAAGCUAUUUCCAGUUUCCAAGGGCUGAGUUAAGCUGGGAGUUAGGUUAGAUCCUCACAUGAAUUUAAGCUAUUUGCAGUUUCCAAGGGCUGAGUGGCUGAGUGGCAGCAUCUGUUCUCCGGCUAUGAAGGAAAAAACACUUACUUUACAAUGUUCACCAAUAAAAUAUAACUUACCCAGACCAAUAGAUGCCAAGUGGCUUAACCCGGUAGCAGCGAGGGGCCAAAUUUGUGGCUUUAACGUGUAGCAGCGAUGGGCCAAAUUUGUGCCAUGAUUUAAACCCCCCAAAAUAGAUGAUACAUAAAAUUAUCACAAAUGCUGAUAUAUAUUAUUAUGAAAUGGUUUGUGUGAGUGAUGAUUUUUUCCCAUUUUUCUCACUUAGAGGGACCAUUAAGAAACAUGAUCCUCGCUGCUACCGGGUUAAAACUACCCACGUGCUGUCCAGAAGACCACCUAUCAACCCGGACUCUAGAUUCUAGGAUUAAAGAUGAGCUCCGGGAGGGCAGCAUGAGCCAAUGCAAGAUGGCACCACUAUAAACACUUGCCUGCGCCAGAACGGGCUGGGCCGACCAUCAGGCCCCACUGGGAAGAAGCCUUGGGCCGACCAUCAGGAUCCACCGGGAAGAAGCCUACCGGCGCAAUAGGCCAUGACGUAAAAAAAAUAAAACAUAUUUGACAAGGCUUUCAGUGGAGGUUUGGGCAUUUUCCGAGAUGCUUUUAUGAUCUGUGGAAAUGUGACCCUUCCUCUGUACCAUCAACCUAAAAAACACAUAUUUGACAAGGCUUUCAGAGGUGUUAUAUACAGGCAGGGGUGCUUUUAUGACCCGGUUGGAGAUGUGACCCUUCCUCUGUACCAUCAACCUAAAUAAACACCCUUGAGAACCCAAUUACGGACCUUUUCAGCCUUGGA